AACGAACGCUGGCGGCAGGCCUAACACAUGCAAGUCGAGCGCACCUUCGGGUGCGCGGCGGACGGGUGAGUAACGCGUGGGAAUAUGCCCUUCUCUACGGAAUAGUCCUGGGAAACUGGGGGUAAUACCGUAUACGCCCUUUGGGGGAAAGAUUUAUCGGGGAAGGAUUAGCCCGCGUUGGAUUAGGUAGUUGGUGGGGUAAUGGCCUACCAAGCCGACGAUCCAUAGCUGGUUUGAGAGGAUGAUCAGCCACACUGGGACUGAGACACGGCCCAGACUCCUACGGGAGGCAGCAGUGUGGAAUCUUAGACAAUGGGGGCAACCCUGAUCUAGCCAUGCCGCGUGAGUGAUGAAGGCCUUAGGGUUGUAAAGCUCUUUCAGCUGGGAAGAUAAUGACGGUACCAGCAGAAGAAGCCCCGGCUAACUCCGUG
rnacentral:rRNA from 1 species